rnacentral:rRNA from 1 species
AUUGAACGCUGGCGGCAGGCCUAACACAUGCAAGUCGAGCGGAUGCAGGGAGCUUGCUCCUGGAUUCAGCGGCGGACGGGUGAGCAAUGCCUAGGAAUCUGCCUGGUAGCGGGGGAUAACGUCCGGAAACGGGCGCUAAUACCGCAUACGUCCUGAGGGCGUAAGUGGGGGAGCUUCGGACCUUCCGCUCUCAGAUGAGCCUAUGUCGGAUUAGCUAGUUGGUGGGGUAAAGGCCUACCAAGGCGACGAUCCGUAACUGGUCUGAGAGGAUGAUCAGUCACACUGGAACUGAGACACGGUCCAGACUCCUACGGGAGGCAGCAGUGGGGAAUAUUGGACAAUGGGCGAAAGCCUGAUCCAGCCAUGCCGCGUGUGUGAAGAAGGUCUUCGGAUUGUAAAGCACUUUAAGUGGGAAAGAAGGGCAGUAAGUUAAUACCUUGCUGUUUUGACGUUACCAAAAGAAUAAGCACCGGCUAACUUCGUG